CUUUUGUUUAAAACAUCAUAAUAAGUAUUCAAUCUCAUUUUUUCUUUUUUCUUUUUCGCAUACACCAUCUACAACGUGGUUUGUUUAUAUAUCUUAUCAGAUCAACUAAGUCACUCAAAAUAAUGCAUCCCGUGAUAGCAACAAGUACAAUUAUUCCCAGAGUUCUUAAGUGUCGGGAGGACCUUCGAUCAUCUUCUGCGCAUGUAUUCCUUCUUCUCGUACUAGACAAUUUCGAUUUGUCAAUUUUUAGUUCUUUUUCUAGUAUUUUAAUCCUUUCAUUUAUUAGGAACUGUUUUUCUUCUUUUGAGUGGUUAUGGUUUUGUUGUUGAUAAUUGUUAUUGGCCGAGUGCUUGCAGAGACACAUAUUCAUGUUUUCUGAAAGAAAAAAAUGCACAUUGU
rnacentral:lncRNA from 1 species